CCCUUGCGUGCUCAGCCUCCUCCUGACAUCAAUGCUCGAAUCUGAAAUCCGUCUCUAUGAGUGACCUGCUGGAUAUGAAGAUGGUGUGUGUGUUCCUUUGCUACUGGUUCCCUUUUUUUGGUUCUUCCAUUUAAUUCUUUGUUGAUCUGUGUAGGCAAAUAGGUCAUUCCUCUGAUCCUAAUUCCGUUGGGCCAUCUUUACCUGUAUCCUUUAGCUAUGUUUAUCCUCCAUUUUCAGGAUGGUUCUUCUUCAGAUGGUGUCAGGUAGUUCGUCUUUCCAUGUCCUUUCUUUUUGUGAAUGUUGUUGUGCCUAAAGAUUUGUUCAACAACGAGUUGGGAUUUCAAUGUACAUUUCUCUUGCUUUUUUGUAAUCUUACAACUGGGGAUAUUAAUCCUAGGUGAGCACAUACAACAUAUAUUAUUGUUGUGUAUUAUUAUGUCAGCCUGUAAUGACCUUUGAUUACCAAUUUACCAUGCAUAAGGAGACAUGACUAUUCACAAGGAUAAAUGAUGUGACAUACAAGAACUUGGAUUCGAUAGAGUAGCAAAGAGCAAACUUGAAAUUGUUUGUACCUGCACUUAAACACGCGGUUUGAUUGAGAAAUAUCGGCACCAGGUUAAAAAACAAAUAGUAAUAGAAUGGUAGGCCGUAGAGGCUCUGAAGUAGUAAAAGCCCUUAAAGUUGGAUGCACAAGCAUCGAUUGGGUACACCAACGGAGAAUAAACCUAGGUAAUUUUUCGGAGCAUGUAAUAUCGAGUUCUAAUUCAAAAACAUGGUUGCGCCUUAGCCUUUUUUCACCAUCUUCAACUGUAAAUGUGUCGUAUCAGAAAGUUCGAUUUCCAAUGGGCGAUAUCAGUUUUUGGUACAUUGUUAGAAACAGAGGUAUCUUAGUUCCCGGUACGCCCAUGGCGUUUUCUUUCCUUUUGUUGUCUCGCAAAAGGAAACCCAACACUUCUCACUGAAAUUAUGCAGCUGAAAGGCAUAUGAAAGAAUUCAAAAUACACAGUUAGUGUAUGCGUGUGCUUGCUAAGGUACUUACUUCUUUAUCUCAGGUAUGAGCAUGUUUAUUUGCAGGUGCUUAUACACAACCUUUAUCUGGUAUUGGUUAUCCGGUUGUGUUAAUGAGCCUUGGUUAUCUGAUUUGCUCUCGGGCCUAGCUACAUUCACCCAAUGGGUUCUUGAUGUGGGCAAUGGUAAAGCCUAUUGACACAAAAGAAGAAGCAUGUGUCUUAUGGAUUUCUAUACCCUCUAACAUGGUAUUAAGGCCGACCUUUGACCAUAUUCUCCCUGUAGUUGAUGCUAUCCAUAACUCAUUUACUGACUUUUUUCUAAUGCUUCAUUCCUAGCACAUCAGCCAAUUGUUUGUCCUACCAACAACUUAGCUAAUGCAAUAAAUUAUGUGGUUUUCUCUAACGUACCUAAAAUUGCUACACAAUUGACCGUGUUCAUAGCAUCUACCAAAAAUGGAUCAUACCGGUGAUGUCAAUCUAUUAUUCAUCUCUUAUGCAUAACUGAAUCCCUGUAAGUUCUACCGAGUACCCGAGAUUGUUAUCCAUCUUUUCGGAUCCAUCUAAAUUGGUCAUUUUGACUAUUUCAGAGAUAGAGUGUACUUAUUUUUGCUGAAUUGUAUCCGAUUGGUUUCCUGUUGCAUUAUAGGAUAUUUAAACUCUAAAUGUUAAAUAUUUCACUCACUUUUACCUGGAAAAUAACAAAAUAACCACCAUUCCAUUAUUGAUGGCAGUGAAGUGAUUGCAGACUACACAUGUCGCAGCUUAUGACAGGCUUGAUACUGAUGAGGGAUCUCCCCCUCUAUCCUAUGGCGCGCCCUUGACCUACUGCUCCAGGGCAGUUUUGUCUAGCGGCGGCACAGAUAUGCCAUUCUCUGCUAACAUGUAUGAGCUUAUUUAGGCUUCAGCCAUCUUCGCAUUGGAGCAUGACGCCGAUGCUCGCCUUGGACAUCAGAAUGGAAGUCGCCAUAUUUUUACUGUUUGCAUAUUUUUAUUUUACUUUUACAAUUUGGCCACCAUGUCUUUAUUUCCCCAUGUUCCAUGUAUAUCAAUUUUUUUUUGCUUCAAUUCGUAGUUGAUUGAGGAAUAUUUAACAAGAAUAUAAAACAUUGAAAUCUCACCAGUUGUGUUUGGUAUAGAUCAGAGUUUGCAGUUUAUAUUCCCUUUUGUUCCUUCUGUCAGCUACCUACUUAACAUGCAUCUCAGACUAUUUAUUGAUGCACAGGGCAUUUCAGUGACUGCUAGAUUUCCUGUUCUAGACUGUCAUCUUGCAAAAAGUAAAAUCUGUUCUCUUGCAGGCCAUGACAUGCAGUUUUGUGAGCUCCAAGAUGGUGGCUGGAACAGCUUCGUCACAUGUUGAUAUCUCCUGUGUGUUACAAAUCAUGUCAUAUUCUUUGCUUCAUUUGCUACCGGAGUGUGUUAGAGAUCUCUUUACCAGUAGUGUGGUGUACAUGUUUGCUGCUUGCAAAUAGAAUAGAUUUUAAUACAAUGACCAACAAUACCUGAAGCUUUACUAUAUUGUACAGUUUGUAAUGUAUGCCUAAGCAUGUGAUUGAUUAUGGUUAUUUGUUUCAUACACCUA